rnacentral:snoRNA from 1 species
ACGGCAUGAUGGGGACAUUUUAUGAUGAGAUCCUUUAAUCGUUCCCAUGAUCUCUGGAAAUGCUCACCAUCUUGUUGCAAGAAGCUAGUGAGAGCUCAUCUUAUCUGGUUAU